rnacentral:rRNA from 1 species
UACGUAGGGUGCAAGCGUUGUCCGGAAUUAUUGGGCGUAAAGAGCUCGUAGGCGGUUCGUCGCGUCGGCUGUGAAAUCCCGAGGCUCAACCUCGGGUCUGCAGUCGAUACGGGCGGACUGGAGUUCGGCAGGGGAGACUGGAAUUCCUGGUGUAGCGGUGAAAUGCGCAGAUAUCAGGAGGAACACCGGUGGCGAAGGCGGGUCUCUGGGCCGGUACUGACGCUGAGGCACGAAAGCGUGGGGAGCAAACAGG